GAUGAACGCUGGCGGCGUGCCUAAUACAUGCCAGUCGAGCGAACGGACGAGAAGCUUGCUUCUCUGAUGUUAGCGGCGGACGGGUGAGUAACACGUGGAUAACCUACCUAUAAGACUGGGAUAACUUCGGGAGACCGGAGCUAAUACCGGAUAAUAUUUUGAACCGCAUGGUUCAAAAGUGAAAGACGGUCUUGCUGUCACUUAUAGAUGGAUCCGCGCUGCAUUAGCUAGUUGGUAAGGUAACGGCUUACCAAGGCAACGAUGCAUAGCCGACCCGAGAGGGUGAUCGGCCACACUGGAACUGAGACACGGUCCAGACUCCUACGGGAGGCAGCAGUAGGGAAUCUUCCGCAAUGGGCGAAAGCCUGACGGAGCAACGCCGCGUGAGUGAUGAAGGUCUUCGGAUCGUAAAACUCUGUUAUUAGGGAAGAACAUAUGUGUAAGUAACUGUGCACAUCUUGACGGUACCUAAUCAGAAAGCCACGGCUAACUACGUG
rnacentral:rRNA from 1 species